UACAGAGGAGCCAAGCGUUGUCCGGAUUGACUGGGCGUAAAGCGCACGCAGGCGGUUGCGCGCGUGGGGUGUGAAAUCUGGCCGCUUAACGGCCAGGCGCCAUCCCAUACGGCGCGACUGGAGUGAUGCAGAGGUCGAUGGAAUUGCCGGUGUAGUGGUGAAAUGCGUAGAGAUCGGCAGGAACACCCAGGGGGAAACCAGUCGACUGGGCAUCUACUGACGCUGAGGUGCGAGAGCGUAGGGAGCGAACCGG
rnacentral:rRNA from 1 species